GACAGAGGGUGCAAACGUUGUUCGGAAUUACUGGGCGUAAAGCGAGUGUAGGCGGUCUGAAAAGUCGGGUGUGAAAGCCCCGGGCUCAACCCGGGAAGUGCACUCGAAACUGCCAGGCUAGAGUAUCGGAGAGGUUGGUGGAAUUCUCGGUGUAGAGGUGAAAUUCGUAGAUAUCGAGAGGAACACCGGUGGCGAAGGCGGGUCUCUGGGCCGAUACUGACGCUGAGGAGCGAAAGCGUGGGGAGCGAACAGG
rnacentral:rRNA from 1 species